UAUUGUGGGCUCAGUCAAAUUUUGAUUUUCUUUCGAACUUUUCUUUAGAUUGAGUAUCUUAACUUGCUUGAUACUUUUAAGUGCAGUUUGAUCCUUCCGUCACCUACUGUUGCUUCUUUGAAAUGUUGAAAUUGCAAUCUGGCAAUCUCCUCUUUUUAAAGUUUUUCUCGAUUGAGUAUAUUUAGAUGAUAAGAUUUAAAUGUUUACUUACUACUUAUGUGAAAGCGGAAAAAAUAGACUUCACUUUAUCAUACAUAUGUUUGGUCACAUCAUUUAAGUGAGUCCACUUAGCAUGGCCACUCCACAUUUAAAGGAGCAAGUACUGGUAGGUCACAAAAGGAUCAAAUUCAGAAAUCAAGCAAGUUAAAGGAAUCUAUUGCAAGAGAAAAAGGAUGAUGAAAUUGAAGAAGACAAAGGGUACAAGUCAAGAGUACUAAACUAGACUUAAUCUAGAAUUAAAUGAUAUAGGCUAUUGAGUCCUUUCACUAUUCGCUCUAAAAUUGCUGAUAUGGCUAAUGGUGCCUGUGGUGCUUUUCUGUCUUGUUACUGCUCACUAGACAAGUUUUGUGGUUUAACAUAUAAUAUAUUCACUUCUCCAAAAGUUAUGGUUUUGUAUGGGAUAUUAUCCUUGACAUUGAUGUUUUACGAACCGAGCUGCAAGUGGAGGGUGCACGUCUAUUUGAUAUAUGUGAUCAAGUCUAAUUUAUUGCACGAAGGCUAUUCAGUAUAGGUACAAUGGAUGCGCUCACAAAGAAGAGUUUGUUAUAACCCCACGAAACCAAAGAUAUCAUACACCCUUCCAGUAUUGAAGCUGUUAGGGACCUGCGUAUCUCACCUUUUAAUGGCAGUCUUGCAGUUUUUGCUUCAUUGGGGAAGACAUUAUCAGUUCUCAGUCUUAAAAGCAACAACAUCAUCCUCGCCUAUGACAUUCUGAAAUUUACAAAUGAAGUAAAUGAGACCUUUCAACAUCAACAGCACCAUCGGAGGGAUUAAUAAUAUCUUCAAUAGUCACUACGAAGAUCACUGUCCGAUUAUUUCAGGCAUGUCUUAGCUUUCUUUCCUUGGGAGUAUUCGAACUAUUGUAAUUUAAUUUAUUUAAAAUAUCAGCCUCACUUCUUAUCUGUAAACUUUCAGGUGAAUUUUAUUGUGAAUGUAUGAUUUAUAUUCUAAGGAAUGCAAACAUGUGUGCGCACUGACAUGCACAUGUACAUGCGCCUCUGCUCAGGUACAUACUAAUAAGCUCAGGUCCAUGAGGAAUACUAUAGCCAUUCUAUAACUCGGUUCCAGUCAUCCUCCACUCAAGGAUUGUUAUUUUACUGAAGUUUUGCUUCGUGGAAGAAAAAAAGCAAAAACUUGAACUGGUCCAAUCACUCGAGAGUCUGCAGUUGAUGAGCAUGAAUGGAAUGCUUUUGGUAUUUGACAUGCACCGAACUCUGAAGCCUAUAAAAUUCCGCUGGAUCUCUCCUUGCGAAUUUCAUGGUCGCGGCUGCUCCUAUGAUCUUUUUUCCCUGUUGCUUGAUGCACCCCGACACCCUCUUCUCUUGACCUAGUCAAGAUUUCACCGACUUUCUUCUGCUCGGACAUAUUAUCUGAGCAGUCUCUUUUGAUACCUCUUGGCUGUCUGCCAAAAGUCUCGAACCCCUCCUCGCUUUCCUUUCUUUCUUCCUUCACGGCACAGUCACCAGCAAACUGUUUCUCUUUCUCCGCAUUUUCCUCCUGCAUAUCAUCUUGAAAAAUCCAAACCAUGACUGGUCAUGUGAGCAUGACUGGUAGCUCGAUCUGAAGUUGAGACCUGGUAUUUUAUGGCCGUUAUUAGUUAGUGCAAACGAAGCUGCAGUGUCAGUUUGUUAGGUCUUGUGCUUACUGUUGUAACCAAUGGGCUGAAACUGCAAUCAAUCAUCUGUUUAAGCGAUGUUCUAGGUAUGGUUUCC